GACGUAGGGGGCCAGCGUUGUUCGGAAUUACUGGGUGUAAAGGGUUCGUAGGCGGUGUGGCAAGUUGGGAGUGAAAUCUCUGGGCUCAACCCAGAGGCUGCUUCCAAAACUGCUGUGCUUGAGUGUGAGAGAGGCUCGUGGAAUUGCAGGUGUAGCGGUGAAAUGCGUAGAUAUCUGCAGGAACACCCGUGGCGAAAGCGGCGAGCUGGAUCACUACUGACGCUGAGGAACGAAAGCUAGGGGAGCAAACAGG
rnacentral:rRNA from 2 species